GCAAAACAAAAUCCUUCACAUUUUUUUAACACAGAAGCUGGCAUUUGUGUUUCUGUGCUUUCUCUGCUUUCAAGUUUCCCGCUCCAUAUGAAGUUUCUUUCUCUGUGACUCUGUCGCCAAAUUCUAGAUUGCAUUGUUUUCUUUCUCGUAAUCUGGGAAAGUGGUAGCAUAGCUGAAGCAGAUGAAUACCAAAGCACAUACCACUCUUCAGCCAAUGAAAUUGAAAACCCCUUCAAGUGAUGGCAGACAGGAGAAGAUGGAAACUCGAGGGAGCAAGGCAAUGUCUGCACAGAAAACAGUGAAAAAUGGGCGUCGAUCCAAUAGAGAAAGGAAAAUGGCUUUGAUACAAGAUGUUGAUAAGUUGAAGAGGAAGCUCAGACAUGAAGAGAAUGUUCACAGAGCUUUAGAAAGAGCAUUUACAAGACCUUUGGGAGCUCUUCCUCGUCUUCCUCCGUAUCUCCCUCCACAAACUUUAGAGCUUGUGGCUGAAGUUGCAGUAUUGGAGGAGGAGGUGGUUAGAUUAGAAGAGCAGGUUGUGAAUUUCAGACAAGGUCUAUAUCAGGAAGCUGUCUACAUUUCCUCUAAGAGGAAUGCAGAAAAUUUGAGCGACCCAAUGGACCAGAACUCCGUCAGAAGCUCCAAACAUCAAAGAUCAAAGUCAUUGUCGCAAAGUGAGUUUGAUUUAGCUAUCAUGGCUAAGCCUCAGGUUUCUCUUGCCAGAAGUGCUUCCAUUAGAAAGCUUUUUUCCUCUGACAUUGUCACUGAUCACACUGGUAAGCUAGUCAACUAUAAAAAAAUGCACAUAAAACAAGACUCGUUAUCAUCAAUCCCAGAAGAGGGACGGGGAAAAGAGAAUCCAAUGUUGUGUAACUCUGUGAAGGAUAAGCAAUCUCAAGAAAAGAAAACGGCCAAAGCCACUACUCCAGUGAAGAAAUCACCAAUAAGACAAGAAUCAGCUGACAAGUGUAUAGAUCACUUGAAGUUACAGAUGGAGGGGAGAUUAGUAGAUCAAGAAAGAGCACAGAGUUCCUCAGGUUCAUCAGAUGAUAAGGCAUCAGAAGUUGAUAGCACACCUAAUAAAAUUUCAGAGGAAAUUGUCAAGUGCUUGUGUAGCAUAUUUGUGAGAAUAGGAACACACAAGGACAAAUUAGGGGAGUUAAAAUCGCCUUCCAGUUCUGUAUCUACUCUCAGCCCAUGCAGCAAGGAAAAGGAUCAGUUUUGUGAUCCAUAUGACAUCUUUUCAGAAUCCAAAAUGAGGGAUAUUGGUACAUAUAAUAGAUUAUGUGAGAUUAAAGCCUCCAAUGUUGAUCUCAACCGAACAAGAAAUGCAGUGUUUCUGAUCCAUAGAUUAAAGUUCCUGCUUGGGAAACUUUCCUCUGUGAAAAUGAAGGAUCUUACACAACAGGAGAAACUUGCAUUUUGGAUAAACACUUAUAAUUCCUGCAUGCUGAAUGCAUAUUUAGAGCAUGGCAUACCUGAGAGUCCUGAAAUGGUUGUAGCACUAAUGCAAAAGGCAACAAUAGAAGUGGGGGGCCAGCUGCUCAAUGCAAUUACAAUAGAGCACUUCAUCUUGAGACUUCCUUACCACCUGAAGUUUAUUACAAUUCAUCCCUUGAUUUUCAUCUUUGCUUCCUGCGACAGACCUGCCCAAAAGCUACAAAAAAUGAUGAGAUAAAAGCACGAAGUAUAUUUGGGUUGGAAUGGUCAGAGCCUUUGGUUACAUUUGCACUUUCCUGUGGAAGCUGGUCUUCACCUGCGGUAAGGGUGUACACAGCAUCACAAGUUGAUAAUGAGUUAGAAGCAGCGAAGAGAGAUUACUUACAGGCAGCAAUUGGCAUUACAAAAUCAAACAAGUUAAUAAUCCCAAAGUUACUGGACUGGUAUUUACUUGACUUUGCUAAGGACUUAGAAUCUUUAUUGGAUUGGGUCUGCCUCCAACUUCCCUUUGAUCUGAGAAAGGAAGCAGUUGAAUGCCUUGAAAGAAGGGGAAAGCAGCCCCUUUCACAGCUGGUGCAAUUGAUGCCGUAUGACUUCAGUUUUAGGUUGCUUUUACAUCAAUAUACUUGGUGAGAGGCACUGUUCAUCACCUAACACUUCAGCCUGUACAGAUUUCUGAUCUUUGAUGUGGUGGAUUCUUGACAUGAUUCAUGUAGCCGAUCUCACCCAGUGAGUUAAGGUUUUGUUGUUGUAUGUUGGAAAGUUCACACAGAAAGUACACAGUCAAAAGCACGUAAUGCAUUCAUUUAGUAGUUUUGGCCUUUUUGGACAUUGGUAUCAGGUCCUUAACAAUGGUUUUAAAGGGAAUAUGCAUAAAAUGGCGAUUUCUUAUGAAGCAAACUCGUUUGUUCCCUGAAUCAACAUUGAUGGUUCAUAAUUGUCUCAAUACAGAUAGGGAUUGCUAAAUUUUUAGAUAUUUUUUUAAUGACGAACUAGAACUAUAUAUUUAUCUAAGGGUGUAAUUUAAUAAACAAUAUGUCGUGAAGUGUCUCAGAAAAAUACAAAUGCUUGACAUAUCAUUUU